rnacentral:rRNA from 1 species
UACAGAGGGUGCGAGCGUUUGUCCGGAAUCACUGGGCGUAAAGGGCGCGUAGGCGGUGGCUUAAGCGUGUGGUGAAAGCUCAGGGCUCAACCCUGAGUCGGCCGUGCGAACUGGGUCACUGGAGCAUGUCAGAGGCAGGCGGAAUUCCGGGUGUAGCGGUGGAAUGCGUAGAGAUCCGGAAGAACACCGGUGGCGAAGGCGGCCUGCUGGGCUAUGGCUGACACUGAGGCGCGGACAGCGUGGGGAGCAAACAGG